rnacentral:lncRNA from 1 species
UUGCACCUUGAUUGCACAAUUUCACCGUGUAGUACGUUUGCGGAUUCGCCGUAUCACUGCUACCACUUGGUUCGCGACUCUUAGAUAACAUUUUGCUGCAUUAUUGGCCUUGCCCACACGUUUGCAACAUAAAAUCAGCUGCAUGUCGCCCGGUGAACUUGCUGCCUAAUGAGGAAAGUG